rnacentral:rRNA from 1 species
CCGAGGAGUCCUGGCCGUUCGCGAGUCGUAGGGGCCAAUUACGAACCCCGAAGGCGCAGCGAAAGCGAGAGAGCGUGUUGGAGGGUGUCGGUUUGGAGAGGUGACCCYACGGGGUCCCGAUCCUGCCGGCUCGGCGAGUCCCGUACUUUCCGUUGUCCGCCCCGCGGCCGCUGUCAUCGCCGUAGUCGUCGGAUUUUCCCCUCGGGGAGAUGAUGUUAGUGGCUGCGGCGAGUCGUCGUGCGGGUUGUGACCGCGGCGUCUUUCCUCCUUCCGCCCGACGGUGAGAUCCCGCGGCCUUAACAGUCGUGGGCGCAUCACCCCCGGGUCGGACCGAGUACGUCUCGGCCGACUCAGGCGUAGCGAGCGACCAGGGACCCGAAAGAUGGCGAUCCACGCCCGGUCGGGAUGAAGCCAGAGGAAACUCUGGUGGAAGUCCGAAGCGCCUCUGACGUGCAAAUCGAUCGUCGGAACCGGGUGUAGGGGCGAAAGACCAAUCGAGCCAUCUA